rnacentral:misc_RNA from 1 species
CAUGGACUGGUCUUCAUGGUUUCGAAGCAACGCUAAAAACGUCAAAAGCCCAAAUCAGCAGCAGCGAAAAACACAUGAAGAUGAAGAUGAAGAGCUGCUUGGAGUCACUUCUCAAUUAAUCGAUCAUGUCAAGUCCUUCACACUUGACACCUUCAAGAAUUUCCCACUUCUGGCUGAAGAAGAUGGAACUACCGGAGCUGCUACUUUUAGCGAUGAAGUUCUUGCUACUACUGCAACUACAUCGGCC